AGAUUGAACGCUGGCGGCAGGCCUAACACAUGCAAGUCGAACGGUAACAGGAAGAAGCUUGCUUCUUUGCUGACGAGUGGCGGACGGGUGAGUAAUGUCUGGGAAACUGCCUGAUGGAGGGGGAUAACUACUGGAAACGGUAGCUAAUACCGCAUAACGUCGCAAGACCAAAGAGGGGGACCUUCGGGCCUCUUGCCAUCGGAUGUGCGCAGAUGGGAUUAGCUAGUAGGUGGGGUAACGGCUCACCUAGGCGACGAUCCCUAGCUGGUCUGAGAGGAUGACCAGCCACACUGGAACUGAGACACGGUCCAGACUCCUACGGGAGGCGGCAGUGGGGAAUAUUGCACAAUGGGCGCAAGCCUGAUGCAGCCAUGCCGCGUGUAUGAAGAAGGCCUUCGGGUUGUAAAGUACUUUCAGCGGGGAGGAAGGGAGUAAAGUUAAUACCUUUGCUCAUUGACGUUACCCGCAGAAGAAGCACCGGCUAACUCCGUGCCAGCAGCCGCGGUAAUACGGAGGGUGCAAGCGUUAAUCGGAAUUACUG
rnacentral:rRNA from 1 species